rnacentral:rRNA from 1 species
GAUGAACGCUGGCGGCGUGCCUAAUACAUGCAAGUCGAGCGAACGGACGAGAAGCUUGCUUCUCUGAUGUUAGCGGCGGACGGGUGAGUAACACGUGGAUAACCUACCUAUAAGACUGGGAUAACUUCGGGAAACCGGAGCUAAUACCGGAUAAUAUUUUGAACCGCAUGGUUCAAAAGUGAAAGACGGUCUUGCUGUCACUUAUAGAUGGAUCUGCGCUGCAUUAGCUAGUUGGUAAGGUAACGGCUUACCAAGGCAACGAUGCAUAGCCGACCUGAGAGGGUGGUCGGCCACACUGGAACGGGGACAGGGUCCAUACGCCUGCGGGAGGCAGCAGUAUGCAAUCUGCCGCAAUAGUCGAGAGCCUGACGGAGCAGCGCCGCGUGAGAGAUGAAGGUCUUCGGAUCGUAAUACUCUGUUAUUAGGGAAGAACAUAUGUGUACGUAACUGUGCACAUCGUGACGGUACCUAAUCAGAAAGCCACGGCUAACUACGUG